UACGGGGGGGGGCAAGCGUUGUUCGGAAUUACUGGGCGUAAAGGGCGUGUAGGCGGCCAACUAAGUCCGACGUGAAAUCCCCAGGCUUAACCUGGGAACUGCGUCGGAUACUGGAUGGCUUGAAUCCGGGAGAGGGAUGCAGAAUUCCAGGUGUAGCGGUGAAAUGCGUAGAUAUCUGGAGGAACACCGGUGGCGAAGGCGGCAUUCUGGACCGACAUUGACGCUGAGGAGCGAAAGCCAGGGGAGCAAACGGG
rnacentral:rRNA from 1 species